rnacentral:rRNA from 1 species
UACGAAGGGGGCUAGCGAUGUUCUGAAUUACUGGGCGUAAAGCGCACGUAGGCGGACUUGUAAGCUGGGGGUGAAAUCCCGGGGCUAAACGCCGGAAUUGCCUUCAAGACUGCAAGUCUGGAGGUCAGGAGAGGCGAGCGGAAUUCCGAGUGUAGAGGUGAAAUUCGUAGAUAUUCGGAGGAACACCAGUGGCGAAGGCGGCUCGCUGGACUGAUACUGACGCUGAGGUGCGAAAGCGUGGGGAGCAAACAGG